rnacentral:sRNA from 1 species
ACACAGAACAGGGAAGCAGUGCUGCGUGAAGCGGUCUCUCUACCAUGUGCUCAGGCAGUGAGUGCUGUCUGGUUGAAGAGUGGGUGCUCAGCAUGGCUCUGGACAGACAGGGAAGUCCUCCUGCAGUAGAGGACCACAAAUAACAGCACAUCAAGGCAUCUGAAAGGCUGUCACCCGGUUGACUAUGAGCUCACCUACUUCCUGGAAGCCGCCCUCCAGAGCGCCUAUGUGAAAAACCUGAAGAAGGGGAACAUCGUGAAGGGCAUGAGAGAGCUCCGGGAGGUGCUGCGGACUGUGGAGACCAAAGCAACUCAGAACUUUAAAGUGAUGGCGGCCAAGCACCUGGCGGGGGUCUUGCUGCACUCCCUGAGUGAGGAGUGCUACUGGAGCCCCCUGUCCCACCCUCUGCCUGAGUUCAUGGGCAAGGAGGAGAGUUCUUUCGCCACGCAGGCCCUGCGGAAACCUCACCUCUAUGAAGGAGACAACCUCUACUGCCCCAAGGACAACAUCGAGGAAGCCCUCCUGCUCCUCCUCAUCAGCGAAUCCAUGGCAACUCGAGAUGUGGUGCUGAGCCGGGUGCCGGAGCAGGAGGAGGACCGGACAGUGAGCUUGCAGAAUGCCG